ensembl:lncRNA
GCAGAAAUGAAGGAAAACGCUGCUAUGAACAUGCCAAAGCAGCAGGUGGCGUUAGAUUCCUAACCGUGCAGAAAUAUUGGCCAAUCAGAAGUCUAGAAGCCUCGGUGGGAAAAAGUAAACAAAGCUGGGGCAUAGAAGCAGAACCGAGUCGUAUGUGUGGACGGACAGUAACUGUGUGUAUAUGUAAGCAUUUAAACACUGCAGAGAGUAGAAUUAACAGUAACAGUAUUGUAGAAAUUCAUUUCACCGAAACAAUAACGUGGCGCACAGUGUGACGCAUGCACCAGUUUAUUGUAUUUCUCUCUGUUUUUUGUCAGACUUGAAAUAGCCGAAAUACCUUCACACUACGGAACUUCUAUGGCUCUUCCGUUCGACAAUCUCUCCGGCAUUGGAACCAUCAUCUGUUUUCUCUUCGGUCACGCUCGGUUGAUUUUUCUAGUCGGUACACUCAUUUCCUCCAUUACCCGCUGGCUGCUUCCCAAACAAACACACGUGCGGCUUGGCACUUGUGCUGUACGUAACAAGUCACGCGACGUGACGCUGCGGCUGUGAUUGGUUCGGCUCUGCGCUACUUAAUUUGGAUUGGCUGACCUUUUUUUUUUUUUUUUUUUUUUUUUUAAGAGGACAAGAGCGGCGAGGUCUAUCGCGAUAGCUUAAUUUCUCUAUCGAGUAAAAGUUAUAUCGCGAUACAUAUCGUUAUCGUUCUAUCGCCCAGCUCUACCCUUCACCAUUACACCCCUUCCCAUGCCCUCCAUUCAGCUUCAACUGCUCUGACUACUCCUCACUUCAAACUUAACACCAUGCGUGCCCUAGCUUUCAGUCAUACUGAACCUUGUCUCUGGAACUCAUUACCACUACACCUUCAUCAGCAGUCAGUGUUUUACAUUUUUAUUAUUAUCUUUUAAUACUAAUAAUAGGAAACCAGCAGCUGAACAACAGCAGCACGUUUAAGCUUGAUAAGCUGUUGUUAGAAUUUAUUUAAUAUUACUUUCUAGACCAGGAACCUUUUCUAUGUAGCUGACGGCUGGUAACUGUGCAGGGGCGGAUCUAGCAAAGUUUAGCCAGGGGGACCGAUAGGGCAUGAACAGGGAAAAGGGGGCACAAAGACAUACUUUUAUUUCUUAUUCUCAUUUAAAAUGUCUAGCUUUUAAUAAAUAAUUAUCUGAAUCUUACACCCAAAGUUUUAAUCUUAUGUAAAAUAUAUAUAAGUCCAUUACUGUAUAUAGUAACUGUUAAGUCUAAUAUACCCUAAUAAGCUAUAGUACUUUUUCCUUUGGGAAGGUACCAUCUGUGCAGUCUGCAAUUCUGUUGAAGAAAGAUGUUGAAUCUAUUUAAUUAUUCUUGAAUUUUUUUUUUUAUUUCUGUGCAUUUUUUCCCACACUGCAUCAAAUUAAAGUUGAUUACUUCAAUUAAGCAUCAUGAGGUGGAGGGUGGGGGGUUCCCUAUUUUUAUUUUUAUUUUUGCUGGGAGUUUGCAACACUAAUAGUUAGGUUGCUUCAUAUUUCUGCUAAGUACUGUUUAAAAUACCAGAAUAGGGAGGAUGGAGUAGGUUUAACUUUAUUAGAUUGAUCAGUAUUCCUGAAUUAUGAAAUAUUUUGGGUGCAGUGUAUUUUUUACAUACAGGUAUAACAGAAUAGCUUUAGUGUUGUUGUUUAUUUAAACUUGAGUAUGAACUUAUACAAAAUGCAGCAAGAUAUUAAAAAAACAGUUUUAUUGAUUAAAAAACACUAUAUCGGAUUCAUAUCGGUAUCGGCAGAUAUCCAAAUUUAUGAUAUCGGUAUCGGUAUCGGACAUAAAAAAUCGGACUUUCAAUGUUGUGAUUAUAGCUGUUCCACAACUCGUGCUACUCAUGGUCAUUAAUUAAUUGGCAUUGAUC